GACGAACGCUGGCGGCGUGCCUAACACAUGCAAGUCGAACGGAGUUGAUUCUUCGGAAUUAACUUAGUGGCGAACGGGUGAGUAACGCGUGAGGAACCUACCUUUCAGUGGGGGACAACAGUUGGAAACGACUGCUAAUACCGCAUAACACAUUUGAGGGGCAUCCCUUGAAUGUCAAAGAUUUAUUGCUGAAAGAUGGCCUCGCGUCUGAUUAGCUAGUUGGUGGGUAACGGCCCACCAAGGCGACGAUCAGUAGCCGGUCUGAGAGGUUGAUCGGCCACAUUGGGACUGAGACACGGCCCAGACUCCUACGGGAGGCAGCAGUAGGGAAUUUCGGCAAUGGGGGAAACCCUGACCGAGCGACGCCGCGUGAAGGAAGAAGGCUGGUGUAAUCUUUACAGGGACGAAGAACGU
rnacentral:rRNA from 1 species